rnacentral:lncRNA from 1 species
GCGCGAUGCCUUUCUGAACUCCCCCAGCCGUCUGAACUUCCACAAUGCCAUCUGGACUUCUCCAAUAAUGAGCUCCCCCAUUCAUCUAUCGGACUGCUCCAAAUACUCUCUGGGCUUCAUUAUCAGCCAACUUUUUAUAAUGAAUGGCUACCCUCUGAAUCUCUUCCAGACUUCUGUUGGAACUAGAUCUAGGGUUUCAGGGUUAGAUCUUGAAACUUUUUCAAGAUCAUACAGCGGAAGACUAAAAUAAAUCAAAAUUAUUUUCUAAAAUUAAAAAAUCUCUAGAUCUAAGAUCCUAUUACAUGAUUAUUACAUAGCAUUAAAUCAAAAAUUAAAAUAUAUAAAUAUAGCAUGAACUACAUGUUGAUCAUAUCAACAUGUUUCUAUACUACAUCUAAUGUAUGUAUUAAAGAAUAGAUCAGAUCUAUUACCUUGCAAGAUAGAUGUUCUAACCUCGUUGAUCCAAGCUUGAGGAUGAUGUUGCAAGCCGCACAUGCAUCCAGCCUCUAGGAGUCAUCCACACGAGCCCACGAAUCUCGAUCAGAAGUCCUGCUUCAGGAAAUCAGCAUAGUAUGCUAGUACUGCGCUGAUCCUUCUUUGAUGGUUGAUCAGGUACCUCCUUCUUCUUGAUUUGGACUCUUUCAAAGAUGAAAAUUAGAAGGAGGAGUUUCAGAUCUGAG